rnacentral:rRNA from 1 species
ACGUAGGGGGCAAGCGUUGUCCGGAAUCAUUGGGCGUAAAGCGCGUGUAGGUGGCUUGGUAAGUCCGGUGUGAAACCUUGGGGCUCAACCCCAAGCCUGCAUCGGAUACUGCCUCGCUUGAGUUCGGGAGGGGAGAGCGGAAUUCCUAGUGUAGCGGUGAAAUGCGCAGAUAUUAGGAAGAACACCGGUGGCGAAGGCGGCUCUCUGGAACGAUACUGACACUGAGACGCGAAAGCGUGGGUAGCGAACAGGAUUAGAUACCCUGGUAGUCCACGCCGUAAACGAUGGGCACUAGAUGUGGGCGGUGUCGACUCCGCCCGUGUCGCAGCUAACGCAUUAAGUGCCCCGCCUGGGGAGUACGGCCGCAAGGCUA